CUUUUUAAUUGGGGGCUGGAAUGAAAGGUAGAUACUAAAGGGAAGGUUUUUUUUAAUAAAAUUUGAAUUUGAUUUAAGAGUAAAAAAGCUCUUAUUAAUCCUUGGGACGAGAAGACCCUAGAAGUUUAAAAUAUAUUUAUUUUUGAUUGGGGCAAUUAAUUGAAGAUAUAAAUUUUUAAUUAAUUAAUUUAAGGUAAGGAAAAUUACUCUAGGGAUAACAGCGUUAUUUAAUUAAUGAGUUCUUAUUAAGAAUUAAGUUUGCGACCUCGAUGUUGAAUUAAAUUUUAAUUGAGGUGAAGGAGCUUCAGAUUUUAGUCUGUUCGACUAUUAAAGGUUUACGUGAUCUGAGU
rnacentral:rRNA from 1 species